rnacentral:rRNA from 1 species
UACGUAGGGGGCAAGCGUUGUCCGGAAUCAUUGGGCGUAAAGCGCGCGUAGGCGGCCCGGUAAGUCCGCUGUGAAAGUCAAAGGCUCAACCUUUGAAUGUCAGCGGAUACUGCCGGGCUAGAGUCCGGAAGAGGCGAGUGGAACUCCUGGUGUAGCGGUGGAAUGCGCAGAUAUCAGGAAGAACACCAACGGCGAAGGCAGCCGCGCUGGGACGGAACUGACGCUGAGGCGCGAAAGCGUGGGGAGCGAACAGG